rnacentral:rRNA from 1 species
GACGAACGCUGGCGGCGUGCUUAACACAUGCAAGUCGAGCGGUAAGGCCCUUUCGGGGUACGACGAGCGGCGAACGGGUGAGUAACACGUGGGUGACCUGCCCUUACGCUCUGGGAUAAGCCUGGGAAACGUAGGGUCGUAAUACCGGAUAUGACUCCAUGACGCAUGUUGUGGGGUGGAAAGACCUUGUGCGGCUAGGGAUGGGCCCGCGGCCUAUCAGCUUGUUGGUGGGGUGAUGGCCUACCAAGGCGACGACGGGUAGCCGGCCUGAGAGGGCGACCGGCCACACUGGGACUGAGACACGGCCCAGACUCCUACGGGAGGCAGCAGUGGGGAAUCUUGCGCAAUGGGCGAAAGCCUGACGCAGCGACGCCGCGU